GAAAAGAACUUUGAAAAGAGAGUUAAACAGUACGUGAAAUUGUUGAAAGGGAAACGAUUAAAGCCAUGCAGGCCUUCUGGGGCAACCUGGUUGGCUGGCCAACAUCAGUUUGAUUUGCUGGACAAUGUUAUCAGGAAGGUAGGUGCUCUUCGGAUCACUGUUAUAGACUGGUAUCAAUACAGUGGAUUGGACUGAGGACAGCGGCGCGAGCUUUUAGCUGCGAGCCUGUUCGCUGGAAGGAUGCCACUUAUAGACAGCUUGCUGACUAUGAGUGAGUACUCUGACCACCCGUUCAGCGCU
rnacentral:misc_RNA from 1 species